AAACAUUAAAAAUCAUUUUUAGAAACUAGAAAUUAAAAGAAUAAUGCAAUUGGUCUCACAUUUUUUGGACCAAUAAUGAACGAGAUAUGAUUUUUUGAAAUGAAAAGGAAUUAAAGAAAUAAAAAGAAAAUGAAAUCUGAAAAUAAAAAAUAUGAAAAAACAUGGAGCGUUGGAUGAAGCUCAUUAAUUGAGCUGGCAAAUCCUUUGGACCACAUGCGCGCAUCC
rnacentral:lncRNA from 1 species